rnacentral:rRNA from 1 species
UAGGGAAUCUUCGGCAAUGGACGAAAGUCUGACCGAGCAACGCCGCGUGAGUGAAGAAGGUUUUCGGAUCGUAAAACUCUGUUGUUAGAGAAGAACAAGGACGUUAGUAACUGAACGUCCCCUGACGGUAUCUAACCAGAAAGCCACGGCUAACUACGUGCCAGCAGCCGCGGUAAUACGUAGGUGGCAAGCGUUGUCCGGAUUUAUUGGGCGUAAAGCGAGCGCAGGCGGUUUCUUAAGUCUGAUGUGAAAGCCCCCGGCUCAACCGGUGAGAGUCAUUGGAAACUGGGAGACUUGAGUGCAGAAGAGGAGAGUGGAAUUCCAUGUGUAGCGGUGAAAUGCGUAGAUAUAUGGAGGAACACCAGUGGCGAAGGCGGCUCUCUGGUCUGUAACUGACACUGAGGCUAGAAAGCGUGGGGAGCAAGCAGG